CUCCUCCCAUGAAUCACAAAUGUCCUUAAUGGCAUUUAAGGAUUGCUAUUAAGGACAUUUGUGAUUCUUGGGAGGAGGU
rnacentral:pre_miRNA from 1 species